GAUGAAGAACGUAGCGAAAUGCGAUAAGUAGUGUGAAUUGCAGAAUUCCGUGAAUCAUCGAAUCUUUGAACGCACAUUGCGCCUUCUGGUAUUCCGGAAGGCAUGCCUGUUCGAGAGUCAUUAACAACCGUUUCGAUCCCUUUCUUUCAGAAAUUACAAAGAGGAAAAGGGUUUGGUUAUGGUGGAGGAGGGAAAGGGAGCGUUUAGCCUGUAAAAAAAGAGGCUGUGUUCCGCCUCCCCCCCAAAAUUGUACAGGCGGUCGUGUGCGCCCACGCAUCGAGGUGUGGUAAAAGCUGCCACGGCACUUUUCACCUGUGCAGUGCGAGAUUGGCCAGCCGGUUUAAAAACCCCUCCAAACAAUCAAAGGUUGACCUCGGAUCAGGUAGGGAUACCCGCUGAACUUAAGCAUAUCAAUAAGCGGAGGA
rnacentral:misc_RNA from 1 species